rnacentral:rRNA from 1 species
UACGAAGGGGGCUAGCGUUGUUCGGAAUUACUGGGCGUAAAGCGCGCGCAGGCGGUCUUCUAAGUCAGUGGUGAAAGCCUGGAGCUCAACUCCAGAACUGCCAUUGAAACUGUUAGACUUGAGUACGAGAGAGGUGAGUGGAAUUCCCAGUGUAGAGGUGAAAUUCGUAGAUAUUGGGAAGAACACCAGUGGCGAAGGCGGCUCACUGGCUCGUAACUGACGCUCAGGCGCGACAGCGUGGGGAUCAAACAGG